rnacentral:rRNA from 1 species
GCAAGUCGAACGAGGGACCAGAUAGCUUGCUAACUGGUUUCCUAGUGGCGGACGGGUGCGUAACACGUGAGCAACCUACACUGAGGGGGGGGAUAGCCUUCCGAAAGGAAGAUUAAUACCACAUGUGAUCUCCGGAUCAAAGACGGCUUCGGCUGUCGCUUUAGGAUGGGCUCGCGGCCUAUCAGCUUGUUGGUGAGGUAACGGCUCACCAAGGUGACGACGGGUACCUGGUCUGAGAGGACGAUC